AGAGUUUGAUCCUGGCUCAGAACGAACGCUGGCGGCAUGCCUAACACAUGCAAGUCGAACGCGUGUAGCAAUACACGAGUGGCGCGCGGGUGAGUAAUACAUGGGAAUCUGCCCUGGAGUGGGGGAUAACCCGGCGAAAGCCGGGCUAAUACCGCAUACGACCUGAGGGUGAAAGAUUUAUCGCUCUAGGAGGAGCCCAUGUCGGAUUAGCUAGUUGGCGGGGUGACGGCCCACCAAGGCGACGAUCCGUAGCUGGUCUGAGAGGAUGAUCAGCCACACUGGGACUGAGACACGGCCCAGACUCCUACGGGAGGCAGCAGUGGGGAAUAUUGGACAAUGGGCGAAAGCCUGAUCCAGCAAUGCCGCGUGAGUGAUGAAGGCCUUAGGGUUGUAAAGCUCUUUCGGCGGGGACGAUGAUGACGGUACCCGCAGAAGAAGCCCCGGCUAACUUCGUGCCAGCAGCCGCGGUAAUACGAAGGGGGCAAGCGUUGUUCGGAAUUACUGGGCGUAAAGGGCGCGUAGGCGGCUCUGAUAGUCAGGCGUGAAAGCCCCGGGCUUAACCUGGGAACUGCGCUUGAUACUGCGGAGCUAGAGUUCGGGAGAGGAGAGUGGAAUUCCCAGUGUAGAGGUGAAAUUCGUAGAUAUUGGGAAGAACACCAGUGGCGAAGGCGGCUCUCUGGACCGAUACUGACGCUGAGGCGCGAAAGCGUGGGGAGCAAACAGGAUUAGAUACCCUAGUAGUCC
rnacentral:rRNA from 1 species